CGCAAGGGGAGUGGCAGACGGGUGAGUAACGCGUGGGAAUCUACCCUUUUCUACGGAACAACUGAGGGAAACUUCAGCUAAUACCGUAUACGGCCGAGAGGCGAAAGAUUUAUCGGAGAAGGAUGAGCCCGCGUUGGAUUAGCUAGUUGGUGGGGUAAAGGCCUACCAAGGCGACGAUCCAUAGCUGGUCUGAGAGGAUGAUCAGCCACACUGGGACUGAGACACGGCCCAGACUCCUACGGGAGGCAGCAGUGGGGAAUAUUGGACAAUGGGCGCAAGCCUGAUCCAGCCAUGCCGCGUGAGUGAUGAAGGCCCUAGGG
rnacentral:rRNA from 1 species